rnacentral:rRNA from 1 species
UACGUAGGGGGCAAGCGUUGUCCGGAUUUAUUGGGCGUAAAGAGCGUGUAGGCGGCUUGGAAGGUCAGCUGUGAAAACUCGAGGCUCAACCUCGAGACGUCGGUUGAAACCACCUGGCUAGAGUCCGGAAGAGGAGAGUGGAAUUCCCGGUGUAGCGGUGAAAUGCGUAGAUAUCUGGAGGAACACCGGUGGCGAAGGCGACAUCCUGGACCGGUAUUGACGCUGAGGCGCGAAAGCCAGGGGAGCAAACGGG